rnacentral:lncRNA from 1 species
GAAGCAUCAGACACUGGGGGGCGCUUCUUGAACAGGCACUGGGCUAGACAGCCCAGACCUCGCGGAAACAAAGCGGGAAGGGGCCGCUCCUGGGGAGUUUUUCCCAGCUUCCCUGGGCCGGUGAGGGGUCCUGGCGUCCUGAACUGGAGAUGCUCCUUAGAGGGCACUGCUUCAGCCACCCCUGCCUUAGCAUACAUACGGGUCCCACAGGGGUCCUUCGACACCAGCUCAUCGUCUGGGUUCCACCAUCCACCCACGCACUCAUUUGGCAGCUAUCAACGGAGUAUUCACAGUACGCUGCUCACAGUUCUAACCGCGGAGGAUAGAGUUGAGGCCCACACGACAGCCCCUGCUCUCACAGAACUGAUGUCUCUAGAAGAGUCUUCCCUCAGUGAGAACGUUCUGAUUUCUAGAACAUUCUUUCUUCUGAUGAGUGAACAGCCUCACCGGAACUUCCCCAUCCUCCUGGCUUGGUUCCUGAAGUGGCCCAAGGCUGCCUUCUCCCUCCCGUGGGUGAACAGGGUCACUGCUUCCUCUCUUGUCCAGGCCCCCUGGCCUGACCCUGAGUCCCGGGCGUAACGGCGUUGUUGAACCACCACAACCCCAGGCGGCGCCUUCCUCUUGGCCCAGGGGCUCUCUUGGGGACAGUGUGCAGUACUCCCCAAGGGGGCUUUGCUGUGCAAAAGCAGCCCCUGCCGAUGCUGCGGCUCCCGUGGAUGGAGCACUGCCGUGGGAACAGAGUUGGAACUCAUCCAAAAGAAUAAAAGACAACUGUGUUGGAAGAUUGCCAAGGUUUGUAGCUGUGCCACCGCAGACUUCAGAGAUGAACACUGCCUUGGAGACGAGGAGGAUUCAAGUUGCAGAAGCAUUUAGAAACCUCAAACUUGAGACACGGUGGGAAAUCAGGAAGACAUGAGGCUUUGCUCAACACUGGAGAACACCAGUUCUUUUCAGUUUGUAUGCAUCUUUAUCAGGGUCUAUGCGAUUCUGAGGCAAGAGGCAUGAAACAACUCUGAGGAAGCAGGUCGGAGAGCAGCUGACCUGGUGAUCAAGGAGGGGCAGCCUGCUAAAAGCAGGGGCAGCAAGACGACAUCUCCAGCUGAGAGACACAUGUACCACUUAGAGAUGAGAAAGAUGCACCAGGGUGAGGAUUUCCACUGUGAGCAUGUUCUUCCAUGUCUAAAUAUAUCCCACAUCUGCACAGGCCCUGGAGACUCUCUCCACAUGUCUUAGCUACCAUCUUUAUAACACUUCCUAUUGAGCAUAUUAUGAGAGAUUCUUGAUAUGAAGUUGAAAAAUCAUGUUGAUGAUACUUUACAAAAAAUAAAUGAGGUUGGUUCGUCCCAUAAAACUAAUAUAAUUUUUCCCCUGGUACAAAAGCAGUAAGUCUGAAGGGGUAGUUUGGAGGAUCAUGAGAUUCAAGUUACGAAAUAUUUACCAAAUUUGGUUGGCUCCAGGGAAGCAUCACAGUUUUUAAACUGACAAUAAUGCACCAAGAGGUGCGCAACAGAAAGCCUGAUCUGGCGGUGGAGUUUAGGAUGGGUUGCAAGUUGGGCUAACCCAGGAGAGGACAGUAAGCCCUGGUAGGGGCUAUGAAAAGCCCAGGUGACCCAGGAUUUGCACAGUCCUUCUUGAUACAUGUUUUGGGAAACAGUUUCAGUAGAGUAGUGUAUAAUAGGGAGAAUAUGAGAUGAAAAAGUUCUGAAGAAUGAGUGUGAUGUUGGAGGUGUUAUGUGCUAUAAGAUGCUCUUGGAGAUAGACUGGAAAAGUUUGGAAUUUAAGAUAGGUGGAGAGGAGAGAACCAGACUUAGCAAUACCACAAUGAGUUGGGAAAGGAUGAGAAGGUGGAAGAUGGUGUAGAAUGAGGAAAAUGGUGGGAAGGUUAAUUUUAUGUGACAACUUGACUGGGCUAAGGGAUACCUAGGUAGCUGGUUAAACAUUAUUUCUGCGUAUGUGUCUCUGAGACUGUUUCUGGAAGAGAUUAGCAUUUGAAUCAGUAAAUUUAGUAAAGAAUAUCUACCCUUGGGCCGGGCGCGGUGGCUCACGCCUGUAAUCUCAGCCCUUUGGGAGGCCGAGGCAGGCGGAUCACGAGGUCAGGAGAUCGAGACCAUCCUGGCUAACACGGUGAAACCCCGUCUCUACUAAAAAUACAAAAAAUUAGCCGGGCGUGGUCACCGGCGCCUGUAGUCCCAGCUACUCAGGAGGCUGAGGCAGGAGAAUGGCGUGAACCCGGGAGGUGGAGCUUGCAGUGAGCCAAGAUCACGCCACUGCACUCCAGUCUGGGGAACAGAGCAAGACCCCGUCUCAAAAAAAAAAAUAAUAAAAAAAAAAAGGAAAAGAAAAAAAGAAAAGAAUAUCUAUCCUUACCAGCAAGGGUAGGCAUCAUCUAAUUCAUUGAGGCCCAGAUAGAAAACAAAAAGGUGGAGGAAGUCCAAAUUCUCUCUCUCUUCUUGAGCUGGGACAUCCAUUUUCUACCCUCGGACGUUGGAGCUCCUUGUUCUUGGGCCCUCAGACUCUGGGACCUACACCAGCAGGCCCUCCCCUUCACUCUUCUGAGGCUUUUGGCCUCAGAAUGGGAGUUAAAUCACUGGCUCCCCAGGCUCUCAGGCUUUUGGACUUGGACCAGACUAUACCAUGGGCUUUCCUGGUUCUCCAGCUUGCAGAGAGCAUAUUUUAGGACUUAAACUUUCAGAGUUGUCCUAAGGAUUAAAUAAGAUAAUUUACGGAAAAAAGCGCUUGGUAAACUUUAGCUUGAAAAGUGAUUAUUAUUUGACUUAAAG